rnacentral:rRNA from 1 species
UCCUACGGGAGGCAGCAGUGGGGAAUUUUGGACAAUGGGCGAGAGCCUAAUCCAGCCAUGCCGCGUGCAGGAUGACGGCCCUAUGGGUUGUAAACUGCUUUUAUACAGGAAGAAACACCCCGACGUGUCGGGACUUGACGGUACUGUAAGAAUAAGGAUCGGCUAACUCCGUGCCAGCAGCCGCGGU